AAACUUUUCAGGAAGUAGAUGAAGAACAAUUAAAGCUCUCAUGUAGAAGUCCAACUUAUUUCGGAUCCUUGGGGAGAGUUUAAUCUUAGAGUUUAUAAAGCUGUUGAGUUUUUAGAGUCACAUGGAACCGAGUCCUGAAAUAAAAUUACAGUUGUGGAUUUCUGUCAUUUAGUCUGGACUAAACAAAUAACAGCAGCAUAAAUCUCAUCAUUAUGAGGAGUCUGGACUGAGGUUUCUCACUUGAUAAUGAUCAAAACAUGAAAUUUAGGUUGGUUUAAAGGAAUUUUCCACCUUAAAUCUUUGAAUGUUGACUUAAAAGGUUGGUUUCAGGAAGUAUUCCACCUGCAAGGUCCUCAAACAUCCACCUUAAAGGAACAUUCCACCAAAAAUCCUUCGACAUGCACCUAAAAUGUUGGCUUAACAGAGUAUUCCAUCCAAAGUCCUCAGAGAGACCUGAGGGGCUGGUUAAAAGGAAUAUUCCACCUAAAACCCCAAAUAUAGACCCGAAAGGGUGGUUUUAGAAAAAAUCCUUCAAUGUAGGCCAAAAAAGUUAGUAUGGAUGAAUAGUCCACCUGAAAUGUAGACAAAUAAUCUACAAAAAUGUAGAUGAUUUUUUUUUUUUUUGAAAAAAAAUCAUCAUGAAUUUUGGCACAAAAAAACGCCAUAGUACAUUAUGUCGAAAAAAAAAUGUGAUUUUUCAGCAUGUUGUAAAAACGUGCCAUAUGAUGAAAUAAUGUAAAAGAGGCCGUGAAAAACACUCCAGAAAGGUUUUCAUUGGAAAAAAAAUCAUCAUGAAUUUUGGCGCAAAAAAAAACGCCAUCGUAUACUGUCGAAAAAAAAUGGGAUUUUUCAAACAUCUUGUAAAAACAUGCCAUAUGAUGAAAUAAUGUAAAGGAGGCCAUGAAAAACACUCCAGAAUGGUUUUCUUUGAAAAAAAAAUCAUGAAUUUUGGCGCUCUUGUCACAUUUUGGACGACAUACUAAACCAUGACUUUUACGAGGUUUUAAUAAUAUUUUCAAUGACAAAGAAUAUGUCUUAGAUCUUUUUGUUCCCAAAGCUGGAAUCGAACCUGCGUCUUCAAUGUACUUCUGUUUAGGAGUCACGCUCUUAACCAGUUGAGCUACCUGGACAGCUUGUUUUUAGCUCUUGGACGACAUCCUAAACUAUGAUGUUUUUUUCCACAUUUUGGACGACAUACUAAACUAUGACGUUUUUUCCACAUUAUGGACGACAUACUAAACUAUGCCUUUUUUUCCACAUUUUGGACGACAUACUAAACUAUGACAUUUUUUUCCACAUUUUGGACGACAUACUAAACUAUGAUGUUUUUU
ensembl:lncRNA